AGAUUUACUAUAAAAAUAGGUUUUUCUGCAAUUUAAAACUUCAUUCAAGAUGUGAAGAUCGAUAGUUUUUCUUCCUCUAAAAUUAAUACUUUAAUUGUCUUUCUCACGCUAUUUUACAAAAGUAAAUUAACGGAUUUGUGAUUUUAUGAAUUUUAAAGCUGACUCGAAGAUAUUAAUAUAAUAUUUAUUGAGUAAUAUUUUUUCACGUUUCACGUUACUUAGAUUAAUUAGAAGGAAAAAAAAUUAAAAAAAAAAAAAAAAACAGAUUGAUUGGAGCAAUCCUUUAUCGUGUGCGAGGAAGAGUCUUGGGAGCUGCCUUAAUAUAUUCCAUUUAAAGAGAGAAAGUGAAUGAAUGUCGGGGAAGUCGCAACACUCAGUCAAUGUCAAACUGUAGGUCAGAAGCGUUGCAGCCCUGUCCAGCGAUUAAUCCGUUAAUCAGUGCGCACUAAACCACACGGACACUAAAUUGGAAGCUGUAUGACUCAUCUUCUCCCCCAUAGGAUCUUUAACCUGAUUUGGGACGACCCGUUGCUUUUGUGUGCAAAUUCUUCCUCUUUCGGUCCUCCCCGGCUCCAGCCAAUUUCGAUUCGUCCCCUCUUGGGGUUCAUACUCUAUUACAGAGCUAUUAAACAGGGAUUAUUAAAGGCGCGAAGAGAGUUAGACAGGCGUAUACAAAACUCACUUCUUGACAGGAAGUGUCCAAUAAUUUAUUUCGCUUCAAAUCUUGCGUCGGGAGCAAAAGUUUGAUUUGUUAUCGAUUCGUUUGUUCUUCACAUUCAAAACUUAUACUCUCUUUCCUUCCUAUAUUACGUAGGCGUAAAAUGUUCGUCGGUCAUUAAUAUGUCGAGUUAAUUAUAGUUUGCAAACGUUUUGG
rnacentral:lncRNA from 1 species